rnacentral:rRNA from 1 species
AACGAACGCUGGCGGCAGGCUUAACACAUGCAAGUCGAACGCCCCGCAAGGGGAGUGGCAGACGGGUGAGUAACGCGUGGGAACGUGCCCUUCGCUUCGGAAUAGCCCCGGGAAACUGGGAGUAAUACCGGAUACGCCGUAUUGGGAAAGAUUUAUCGGCGAAGGAUCGGCCCGCGUUGGAUUAGCUAGUUGGCGGUGGAAUGGACCACCAAGGCUACGCUCCAUAGCGGGUCUGAGAGGAUGCUCAGCCACACUGGGGCUGAGACACGGCCCAGACUGCUACGGGAGGCAGCAGUGGGGAAUCUUGGACAAGGGGGGCGAGCCUGGUCCAGCCAUGGCGGGGGAGUGAAGAAGGCCUUAGGGUUGUAAAACUCUUUCGCCGGAGAAGAUAAUGACGGUAUCCGGAGAAGAAGCCCCGGCUAACUUCGUGCCAGCCGCCGCCGUAACAC